ACACUAAGGGUGUGUUUGGUAUGGACGAAAAUGUUCAACUUUUUAAUGAAUGUUUACUCACGUAUAUAGUUAUAACACGAAUAAUAAGGUCAUCAUUUCCCAAGUUUUGUUGCUCCUCUUGUAUUUGCUCUGCUGAAACAAGAACAGAAAGCAUACAUUUGUAUAGUUCAAUCAGCUGUGGUGUCUGAAUUCUCCGCGAAGUCCAAAGGAAUUUGCUCCAACGAAUUGCAAUCUGUUAGGACUAAUAAGUGCUCAAGGCUCGGGAAAUGAUAAGCAAAUACUUUAGUCGCGAGAAUCCAUCUUCCUCUUCAUCGCUUAGUUUCCAAAUUUGUCCGUGAAAGGCGUGAUGUUUGAGUACCUCAAGAUUAGGUAAUUUACUGAGAAUGUUCAUGUCUUCCCAUUGUAGGUGUGUUCUGCACAAUUUUAACAUUUUAAGGUUUGGUGGGAAAUUGUCACAAUGUGGAAUGUGUAGCCGAGGAGAGAUAGGGUACUCCCUAUAUUUUGAGCUUCUCAAGCUGAGUUAAAUGUACGAGGUUAUCUGGGAAAGCCUUGUGGUCAACACGAUGGCUCCAUGCCAUGGACCUGCAGUUGACGAUUUUCACACAUUAUUUAGUCUAUAAAUAAACUCGUUUGUGUAGAUGAUCAUAAUGGAAGUCGAAUCGUGUUGACCAUAAGGCUUGUAGAUGUUGCCUCUUGUGCUUGCUCUGGCAAUUCCCUUCACCAGAUGCUCUUUCUGAGCCUGGAGGAAAGCUGGACUCUUUUACGCGAUAAGGUCUUUGGGAGUGGUGAUUAUCCUGCGGAAUUGGAGCUUACAGUUGUUGCAAUGGGUGGACUACUUUCCAAGAUGAGCAAGGAAACAAGUUCUUGGGAGAAUGUUGCAGAAAAGAUAGGAUCACUUAUGACCAGUGACACUAUGGAUUGCUUGAACAUACUUUCUUUGAGCUACAACCACUUGCCUCAGUACUUGUAAGAUGCAUGAUCUCGUUCGAGAUAUGUGUUUAAGAGAAGCCCAAAAUGAGAACUUUAUACACUUCAAAACGAGGUAUGAUCACGAUGGUGUUCUAGAAAACGUUAGUUGUCUACGUCGUGUAGUUGUAUUCAAUAAAUCACAAACACUGAAAGUAUAGAUAUCCCAGUGGACUUUCUAUACUCAUGCCAUUCACACGUUCUGUUUUCUUCAAAUAUCCAUCCUAUUGUAAUUUACCCUCACAAUCAGGCUUUAGAUUACUUAGGAUAUUAGAUGUUUGAUUUGCUCUUGAUAUCAGAACUUGUUCAUUUGAGGUAUCACAACACACCUACAAUGGGAAGACAUGAACAUUCUCAGUAAAUUACCUAAUCUUGAGGUACUCAAACAUCAUGCCUUUCACGGACAAAUUUAGAAACUACACAAUGAAGAGGAAGAUGGAUUCUCGCGACUAAAGUUUUUACUUCUUGAGGACAUGAAUCUGAAGCAAUGGGAAGCAGCAAGUUAUCAUUUCCCGAGCCUUGAACACUGAAUACUAACAGCUUGCAUUUACUUGGAACAAAUUCCUUUCGACUUUGCGGAUAAUCAGACACUACAGCUGAUUGAACCACACAAAUGUAAGCUUUCUGUUAUUGCUUCAGCAGAGCAAAUACAAGAAGAGCAACAAAGCUUGGGAAAUGAUGACCUUAUUGUUCAUGUGCACUAUAUAGACAAAAUGCUGAGUUGAAGGAAAUCACAAUAAGGAAGAUCACCGUGAUGCUGUUGUUUUCUUCUUUCACCAGCUGUGGUGUAUAUAGAUUCUAAUAAAACAUGUUCUAUUUCUUUGUAAAUCGCCCGGCCUUCUUUUUUUGAAAUAUUUUGUUCUCUUUCUGAAUUUAGACCUCUCGUAAAUCGCU